AUUGAACGCUAGCGGUAUGCUUAACACAUGCAAGUCGAACGGUAACAGGUAAAGCAAUCCCUUCGGGGUGCGUUUUGCGCUGACGAGUGGCGGACGGGUGAGUAACGCGUAGGAAUCUACCUUAUAGUGGGGGACAACCCGGGGAAACUCGGGCUAAUACCGCAUAAUCUCUUCGGAGGAAAGCGGGGGACCUUCGGGCCUCGCGCUAUAAGAUGAGCCUGCGUCAGAUUAGUUUGUUGGUGGGGUAAUGGCCUACCAAGGCGACGAUCUGUAGCUGGUCUGAGAGGACGAUCAGCCACACUGGGACUGAGACACGGCCCAGACUCCUACGGGAGGCAGCAGUGGGGAAUAUUGGACAAUGGGCGCAAGCCUGAUCCAGCAAUACUGCGUGUGUGAAGAAGGCCUUCGGGUUGUAAAGCACUUUCAGUGGGGAAGAAAAGCUUAAGGUUAAUAACCUUGAGCCCUGACGUUACCCACAGAAGAAGCACCGGCUAACUCUGUGCCAGCAGCCGCGGUAAUACAGAGGGUGCGAGCGUUAAUCGGAAUUACUGGGCGUAAAGCGCGCGUAGGUGGAUGCUUAAGUCGAAUGUGAAAGCCCCGGGCUUAACCUGGGAAUUGCAUCCGAUACUGGGCGUCUAGAGUAUGGUAGAGGGAAGUGGAAUUUCCGGUGUAGCGGUGAAAUGCGUAGAUAUCGGAAGGAACACCAGUGGCGAAGGCGACUUCCUGGACCAAUACUGACACUGAGGCGCGAAAGCGUGGGGAGCAAACAGGAUUAGAGACCCUGGUAGUCCACGCCGUCAACGAUGAGAACUAGCCGUUAGGGGGUUUACCCCUUAGUGGCGAAGCUAACGCGUUAAGUUCUCCGCCUGGGGAGUACGGCCGCAAGGCUAAAACUCAAAGGAAUUGACGGGGGCCUGCACAAGCGGUGGAGCAUGUGGUUUAAUUCGAUGCAACGCGAAGAACCUUACCUACUCUUGACAUCCCUGAAAUCCUCUAGAGAUAGAGGAGUGCCUUCGGGAAUCAGGUGACAGGUGCUGCAUGGCUGUCGUCAGCUCGUGUCGUGAGAUGUUGGGUUAAGUCCCGUAACGAGCGCAACCCUUGUCCUUAGUUGCCAGCACGUAAUGGUGGGAACUCUAAGGAGACUGCCGGUGAUAAACCGGAGGAAGGUGGGGACGACGUCAAGUCAUCAUGGCCCUUACGAGUAGGGCUACACACGUGCUACAAUGGGCAGUACAGAGGGUUGCCAAGCCGCGAGGUGGAGCUAACCCCAGAAAGCUGUUCGUAGUCCGGAUUGGAGUCUGCAACUCGACUCCAUGAAGUUGGAAUCGCUAGUAAUCGCGAAUCAGAAUGUCGCGGUGAAUACGUUCCCGGGCCUUGUACACACCGCCCGUCACACCAUGGGAGUGGAUUGCACCAGAAGCGGCUUGCCUAACCUUCGGGAGGGCGGUCACCACGGUGUGGUUCAUGACUGGGGUG
rnacentral:rRNA from 1 species